GAUAGUGACAGUUGAGACGAAAAAAAAACGGCUGGGCUGACGCUGAGGAGGUGUGAUGCAGAUAGGAGCCCCAGAGAGAUACGCGACGGAGAACGGGAAAAUACCGGACUAUAUUCAGGGAGAACUGUAUCUCGGCUGUCCGCAGGGAGGAAAAAGGAGAGCAGAUUUACCCAUAUAUGGCUGUCUAGAUCCCGGAUCGCCGCAACAAGUCGGAGGGAGAGCAGCUGUGCACACGCCAUACAGUCGAAGUAGAGAGGAGGUAGGCGGGCUGGAGCAGUAGGGGGAGGCACCAUCAGAUCUGACCCGUCAGGAAGGGAUAGGAUCAGCCCAACUAUUGCCGCCCAGCAGGAGGAGUUGGUGGAGGAUCAGACGAUGUCAUCGUCAUCCCCUCCUACAGUAUAUAAACCGGACGGGAGUACUGUUGAUCUUGUCACAGGAAGCUCUGAAACCACAAAAGAAGAACAAGCAGUGAAGGUGGCUGCCCACUUCACUCAGCCCAUCACAGAAAAUCUAAAGUGUUCACCUCCUGAAUCCGCAGGACUACCCAACCCUGGCGGAGAGAAGUGGCUCAAGUAAAGUUCCCCACUGUAGUCUUCAGAUCGUGGGUUGCUGGAAGAGGAACAAAAGCUUAUUCUUAUGAUGCAGCAUGAGUUACGUCAUCCCACGCUGGACACUGCAGAGGAGCCGACCGAUCCUCCCGGGAACAUGGAUCAGCAUCCGCAUGCAGCAUUUGGUCACUACAGAGAAGCUAAAAUUAAAUGUUUGUGUAACAUGGAGAAGCUUGUAGCUCGGUAGGUGUUGAAAGAGGAGUGCGCUACUGCACAGUCUUGUGUCUUCUUUUUCUCCAGUGAAACUUCAUGCCUUAUCCCAAGAUGGCACCCGAGAUCACUACUGAGCAUGUGUUGGGGCCAUCUUAUUUCUUUACUGUAUGAGACUGUGUAGUGUGAUAUUCCGGGAGACAGAAGCAUCCUACAUAGGUCCAGAGAGACCUGCAAUCCACAAUGACCUGCAAUCCACAAUGUUUUCAAGCAUCCCCAGACUGCCACCCGUUUGCAUUAUGCACUCACUGUCUGGUGAGUUGUAUUCCUGUAAUAUAUCAAUAAACCAACUCCACUGGUUAAGUAACUGGGCUGUUCAUCGUUCCAGUUACACGCUGGUGUAUGCCUGUAAGUGCAUAUAUGGUGUUCACACAUAAUUUCCAAGAAGAGUCACAGGC